AUAUCAAUAAGCGGAGGAAAAGAAACCAACAGGGAUUGCCCUAGUAACGGCGAGUGAAGCGGCAACAGCUCAAAUUUGAAAUCUGGCUCUUUCAGAGUCCGAGUUGUAAUUUGCAGAGGGCGCUUUGGCUUUGGCAGCGGUCCAAGUUCCUUGGAACAGGACGUCACAGAGGGUGAGAAUCCCGUACGUGGUCGCUAGCUAUUGCCGUGUAAAGCCCCUUCGACGAGUCGAGUUGUUUGGGAAUGCAGCUCUAAAUGGGAGGUAAAUUUCUUCUAAAGCUAAAUAUUGGCCAGAGACCGAUAGCGCACAAGUAGAGUGAUCGAAAGAUGAAAAGCACUUUGGAAAGAGAGUCAAACAGCACGUGAAAUUGUUGAAAGGGAAGCGCUUGCAGCCAGACUUGCUUGCAGUUGCUCAUCCGGGCUUUUGCCCGGUGCACUCUUCUGCAGGCAGGCCAGCAUCAGUUUGGGCGGUGGGAUAAAGGUCUCUGUCACGUACCUCUCUUCGGGGAGGCCUUAUAGGGGAGACGACAUACCACCAGCCUGGACUGAGGUCCGCGCAUCUGCUAGGAUGCUGGCGUAAUGGCUGUAAGCGGCCCGUCUUGAAACACGGACCAAGGAGUCUAACAUCUAUGCGAGUGUUUGGGUGUCAAGCCCGAGCGCGUAAUGAAAGUGAACGGAGGUGGGAACCCGCAAGGGCGCACCAUCGACCGAUCCUGAAGUUUACGGAAGGAUUUGAGUAAGAGCAUGGCUGUUGGGACCCGAAAGAUGGUGAACUAUGCUUGAAUAGGGUGAAGCCAGAGGAAACUCUG
rnacentral:sRNA from 1 species